rnacentral:lncRNA from 1 species
UCUAGGUCUAGCCUUUAGGAGGACUGGCACCUUCCGCCCAGCCUCCAGGAAGGCCUGAGCUGCCAUGGUAGAAGUCGGACUACCUUUAGAGAAAGAACCCUGGAGAGUCCUGAGACUCAAAGCAGAGAAGCCCUGCUGAGCCUGACCUCUAUACCAAUCUAUCAGCUGUGAGACCAGCUGGGACCUACCAGACCAGUCCAAUCACCUGCUGAAUACCACCAGGAUACUGAAAAACGCAGGCUUUUAAAAAGCACCAGACACCAACCAAGCGGAUUUAGGACUCUCAAGUAUGGAAAGCCACAUCUAAACUAUGUUUAAAUCCAAUUUUUUUACACAAAUUCCAAGCAUGUUGUCUGGUACUAAAAAGUACUUAGAGGGCCGGGGAUUUAGCUCACUGGUUUCGCUGCCUGCUGCGCAAGCACAAGGACCCGAGUUUGAUCCCCAGUACCAAAAAAAAAGCACUUAGAAUUUACUUAGUGGAACAGAUUCUCCUAAAUAUUACCUAUCACUGGAGACAAGGGAUUGGAAUAGGAGAUCUGCUCCCAUGAGAUACUUUAACUUCUGUCAUUACAGAUUAAUUCAGAUUUAAGAUUCACAGUAUAUUCAGUUGUGAUAUAGGACAUAAGAAUUAGAAACACUAACAAAUGGAAAGAAGUCUUCAGAUGUUUCAUUAUAUUUAAAACAUCCAGGGAGGGGAAAAAAAAAAAAGGAAGAUUUGGGUUUUUAGUACUCUAUGUAAGAAUAGAGUGAGUUUACUUCAGGAAAUUAAAGUGAAGAUUUAUAGGCUAGGGGAAAAGUAUAGGUUUCUAAUCUAGAAAAACAGUACUCCUGGUAAGAACUGAAACUACUCAAAUUAUUUUUUAAUUCUUACUUUUUUUUUUUUUGGUACUGGGGAUUGAACUCCGGUCCUUGUGCUUGCGUAGCAGACGGCAAAACCACUGAGCUAAAUCCCCGGCCCAUAUUUUUUAAUUCUAAUGGGAAUAAAUUCAUUCUGGUCAUUACUAUCAAACCAGUUCAAGUCAACUCAGAGGAAUGGCAAAACUCACUUAUAAAAACAUUACUUUUCAAACAGUCUUUUAUGUAAAC